rnacentral:rRNA from 1 species
AGAGCCACGGGACGCAGCAGUAGGGAAUAUUGCUCAAUGGGGGAAACCUUGAAGCAGCAACGCCGCGUGGAGGAUGAAGGUUUUAGGAUUGUAAACUCCUUUUGUAAGAGAAGAUUAUGACGGUAUCUUACGAAUAAGCACCGGCUAACUCCGUGCCAGCAGCCGCGGUAAUACGGAGGGUGCAAGCGUUACUCGGAAUCACUGGGCGUAAAGAGCGCGGAGGCGGGGGGUCAAGUCAGAUGUGAAAUCCUGUAGCUUAACUACAGUACUGCAUUUGAAACUGAUCAUCUAGAGUAUG